rnacentral:rRNA from 1 species
GGGCGUCGACCGGCGCACGGGUGAGUAACGCGUAUCCAACCUGCCCACCACUUGGGGAUAACCUUGCGAAAGUAAGACUAAUACCCAAUGAUAUCUCUAGAAGACAUCUGAAGGAGAUUAAAGAUUUAUCGGUGAUGGAUGGGGAUGCGUCUGAUUAGCUUGUUGGCGGGGUAACGGCCCACCAAGGCAACGAUCAGUAGGGGUUCUGAGAGGAAGGUCCCCCACAUUGGAACUGAGACACGGUCCAAACUCCUACGGGAGGCAGCAGUGAGGAAUAUUGGUCAAUGGACGAGAGUCUGAACCAGCCAAGUAGCGUGCAGGAUGACGGCCCUAUGGGUUGUAAACUGCUUUUAUAAGGGAAUAAAGUGAGUCUCGUGAGAUUUUUUGCAUGUACCUUAUGAAUAAGGACCGGCUAAUUCCGUGCCAGCAGCCGCGGUAAUACGGAAGGUCCGGGCGUUAUCCGGAUUUAUUGGGUUUAAAGGGAGCGUAGGCCGGAGAUUAAGCGUGUUGUGAAAUGUAGAUGCUCAACAUCUGCACUGCAGCGCGAACUGGUUUCCUUGAGUACGCACAAAGUGGGCGGAAUUCGUGGUGUAGCGGUGAAAUGCUUAGAUAUCACGAAGAACUCCGAUUGCGAAGGC